rnacentral:rRNA from 1 species
AACGAACGCUGGCGGCAUGCCUUACACAUGCAAGUCGAACGGCAGCACGGGAGCAAUCCUGGUGGCGAGUGGCGAACGGGUGAGUAAUAUAUCGGAACGUGCCCGGUCGUGGGGGAUAACGUAGCGAAAGCUACGCUAAUACCGCAUACGAUCUACGGAUGAAAGCGGGGAUCGCAAGACCUCGCGCGAUUGGANCGGCCGAUAUCAGAUUAGGUAGUUGGUGAGGUUAAAGGCUCGACCAAGCCGACGAUCUGUAGCUGGUCUGAGAGGAUGACCAGCCA